AGAUAUGUUUGAUAUUCUUGGUUGUUAAAUUUUAUAUUAUCACCCAGGAAUCAAACAUAUUAUUA
rnacentral:pre_miRNA from 1 species